AUUUACAAUGACGGCCUAACCCGGAGGACACUGGGCCAAUUGUGCGCCGCCCUAUGGGACUCCCAAUCACGGCCGGUUGUGAUACAGCAUGGAAUCGAACCAGGGUCUAUAGUGACGCAUCUAGCACUGAAAUGCAGUGCCUUAGACAGCUGCGCCACUCGGGGGCCCAGAUCGCAGGAUGUUGGACCUAUUCCUGUUUUGUUUCUUCCUUUUAAAAAUACAUAUAAUUUAGAAACUUUCCUAUCAAUGAGACCAUCAUCGGACUGGGACUGUUCGCACUGGCUAUCCUGGGACCUUCCAGUUGGAUUCUCGCCAACAUUGAGGACUACAAGAAGAAAGAUUAACUUAACAUGAACUCAUGUUAAUGGAUGUUCCGUACAUUCUGUACUCAUUCAAGACUCUCCUGGGACCAUCAUUAUUUCAAGAACUCUAUGGAACAAAUCCCCAACCUCCAUGAACUACCUCUCCAUCUCCACUGUACUCUCCUCACUCCUAGUUUACUCUUCAGCCCUUUGGAGAACCGUCUGCAAAUAGAAUGGCUGCACAACAUCUCAAGAUUUGUGAAUUUGAUUUGAACAAGGAGUAUGUUACAAUAAUAAAACAUAAUUAAACUUGAAAUAUUCUAGUCUCAAA
rnacentral:lncRNA from 1 species